rnacentral:rRNA from 1 species
CAGUAGCCGCGGUAAUACGUAGGGUGCAAGCGUUAAUCGGAAUUACUGGGCGUAAAGCGUGCGCAGGCGGUUUUGUAAGACAGAGGUGAAAUCCCCGGGCUCAACCUGGGAACUGCCUUUGUGACUGCAAGGCUAGAGUACGGCAGAGGGGGAUGGAAUUCCGCGUGUAGCAGUGAAAUGCGUAGAUAUGCGGAGGAACACCGAUGGCGAAGGCAAUCCCCUGGGCCUGUACUGACGCUCAUGCACGAAAGCGUGGGGAGCAAACAGGAUUAGAUACCCGGGUAGUCCCUGUCUCUUAUAA